rnacentral:rRNA from 1 species
GCACGGGUGAGUAACGCGUGGAUUAUCUACCUAUUGGUACGGGACAACAGUUGGAAACGACUGCUAAUACCGUAUAAGCUGGUAACGGGAAAGGGGGCCUCUUCUUGAAAGCUCUCGCCAGUAGAUGAGUCCGCGUUUCAUUAGCUAGACGGUGGGGUAACGGCCUACCGUGGCAACGAUGAAUAGCAGGCCUGAGAGGGUGGCCUGCCACACUGGGACUGGAACACGGCCCAGACUCCUACGGGAGGCAGCAGUGGGGAAUAUUGCGCAAUGGACGAAAGUCUGACGCAGCGACGCCGCGUGGAGGAUGAAGGUUUUCGGAUCGUAAACUCCUGUCAAGAGGGAAGAAACCUGUUGAAAAUAAUACUUUCAGCAAUUGACGGUACCUCUAGAGGAAGCACCGGCUAAUUCAGUGCCAGCAGCCGCGGUAAUACUGAAGGUGCAAGCGUUAAUCGGAAUCACUGGGCGUAAAGCGCUCGUAGGUGGCUUUGUAAGUCAGGUGUGAAAGCCCCAGGCUCAACCGUGGAAUUGCACUUGAUACUGCAUC